CUUUUUUUGUUCUUCAAAGUCACCAAAGCGCUGUGCGAACUCAGUGCGCAGUGCGCUCAUAACGCGGGAAGUGUUCAGCAAGGCAGCUGAAGCGCUGCAUUAUGGGAUCUGUAGUUUAUUGUGUUACCAGCGCUUCAUAUUGCCGGGCCAUUAAUAACAAUAAUAUAUAAAAUGAUCUCGCUGGCCGGAUAUAAUUACACGCCGGGCCGGAUGUGGCCCACGGGCCUUGAGUUUGACACAUAUGGUCUAUGUUGUGCUUG